AUGUCAAGCAUGUGCGGCAACGUCAGCGUACCCUACCCCUUCGGCAUCGGCGUUGGCUGCUUCCGCGACGACGGCCAGCCGGGCUUCCAGCUCGAGUGCAAUGACUCCGGCCCCGGCCGGCCUCCGCGCCUCACCAUAGUCGGCUACGACUACCACCUCGCCGCGCUGUCCCUCGAAGGCGAAGCCCGGACCUACCUCAGGGCCACGCGCCACUGCUACAACUCCACGGGGGAACUCAUCGAUAGGGUUACGGAGUACAUGACCCUCUUAGGCACCCCCUACCUCUUCUCGUCGGCCAAGAACCGGCUCGUCACGCUCGGCUGCCCCAGCCUCGGCUACUUCAACGACGGCAGAGGCUUCUACAUCAGCGGCUGCACGUCCGUGUGCCGGCCGUCCCAGUACGCCCUGCCGGGCUCGUGCACCGGCGUCGGCUGCUGCCAGAGCGCGAUACCCAACGGCGCCGACUUCUGGGAGUCGACCCUUUUUAACUUCUCGCCGGGGCAGCAGGACACAGUCGUCUUCAACACCAACCCCACCUCGUGCCGCUAUGUGUUCCUCGUCGAGACCAAGUGGUUCGACGGUCAAGCCUCCCACAGUUUCGUCAACCGCACCGACGACUUCACCGUGCCGCUCAUGCUCGACUGGGCCGUCAGGAACGUCGGCAACUGCAGCGCCGCCAGGCGCAACGCCACCGACUUCGCUUGCAAGAGCGCGGGCAGCCGGUGCUUGGACGCCACCAAUGGCCCUGGGUACCGGUGCAGCUGCCCGAGUGGGCACGAAGGAAAUCCCUACCUCGACCACAUCGACGAGUGCCGUCGGAAAGACGAAUACCUGUGCUACGGUGAGUGCAGAAACACGCCGGGAAACUAUACUUGCGAAUGCCCUCCAGGUACGAGUGGAGAUGCCUACAGGGAGAGCGGCUGCCGGGCAAAUGACAAGUUCACCUUGGCUCUCAAAAUCGUUACAGGAGUUAGCGUCGGGGUGUUCUUGUCAUUAUUCACAUGCUUCUGGGUCUACCUAGGACAUCAGAAGCGGAAGCUCAUCAAGGCAAAGCAGAGCUUCUUCGAGCACAACGGAGGCGUCAUCCUGCAGCAGCAGAUGCGUUCCUACAGUAGCGCUGCUGGGGGAGGGAGUGGUGGGUUCAAGAUAUACUCAGAAGAGGAGCUCAAGAAGGCGACCAACAAUUUCGCCGCUGAUCAGAUCCUCGGUCGCGGCGGCCACGGCAUUGUGUAUAGAGGUGUUCUGGAGGACAGUACCAUAGUGGCUAUAAAGAAGUCCAAGAUGAUGGAGGAAACUGAGACCAAGGAGUUCGCAAGGGAGAUGUUCAUACUUUCCCAGAUUAACCACCGAAACGUCGUCAAGCUACACGGAUGUUGCCUUGAGGUGGAGGUGCCAAUGCUGGUCUACGAGUACGUCUCCAACGGCACCCUCUACCACUACAUCCAUGGCGGCAAGGGCCUCGAAUCCAAUACCGCACUUGACACCUGUCUACGGAUAGCGGCAGAGUCGGCAGAGGCUUUAUCGUAUAUGCACUCAUCGGCCUCGCCCCCGAUCCUUCAUGGCGAUGUCAAGACGGCCAACAUCCUGCUUGACGGCAACCUCACCGCCAAAGUCGCAGACUUUGGGGCGUCGAAACUGGCGCCUAGUGACGAAGCCGAGAUUGCGACAUUGGUGCAAGGCACUUGCGGAUACCUGGACCCGGAGUACCUCAUGACAUGCCAACUGACUGACAAGAGUGACGUGUAUAGCUUUGGGGUCGUUCUGUUGGAGCUUCUGACAGGAAAGAAGGUGAUCUACUUCGAUGGGCCAGAGCAGGGCAAGAGCCUCGUGUCCCGAUUCACGACAGCCGUGAAAACCAACCGACACGACGAGGUCCUUGAUAGCCGGGCGAGGAAGGAGAUGGGCCCCAAGGCAUUGGAAGAAGUCACACAUCUUGUGAUGCGAUGCGUGAGCAUGAGUGGGGAGGACCGACCAGUAAUGAAGGAAGUUGCCGAGAGGCUAGAGGCGUUGAGGAGGUACCAGCAGAACCCAUGGGGUCAGGCUGGUGCCGGAGAUCCGGAGGAGGGGCAAAGCUUGCUUGGCAGGGAGCAACAAUGUGAUGUGACUUAUAAGUUUAUACCGCAAGAUGUGCUUGAUGCUGAAGAGGGCAGUACAUACACUUUUAGCUUGUAG
rnacentral:rRNA from 1 species